UACGGAGGGUGCAAGCGUUAUCCGGAUUCACUGGGUUUAAAGGGUGCGUAGGAGGGCAGGUAAGUCAGUGGUGAAAUCCUGGGGCUUAACCCCAGAACUGCCGUUGAUACUAUCGGUCUUGAAUGUCGUGGAGGUGAGCGGAAUAUGUCAUGUAGCGGUGAAAUGCUUAGAUAUGACAUAGAACACCCAUGGCGAAGGCAGCUUGCUGGACGGAUAUUGACUCUGAGGCACGAAAGCGUGGGGAUCAAACAGG
rnacentral:rRNA from 1 species